GACGAUCGCUGGCGGCGUCCUUAACACAUGCAAGUCGAACGGAAAGGCCCUGCUUUUGUGGGGUGCUCGAGUGGCGAACGGGUGAGUAACACGUGAGUAACCUGCCCUUGACUUUGGGAUAACUUCAGGAAACUGGGGCUAAUACCGGAUAGGAGCUCCUGCUGCAUGGUGGGGGUUGGAAAGUUUCGGCGGUUGGGGAUGGACUCGCGGCUUAUCAGCUUGUUGGUGGGGUAGUGGCUUACCAAGGCUUUGACGGGUAGCCGGCCGGAGAGGGUGACCGGCCACAUAGGAACUGAGAUACGGCCCAGACUCCGGCUGGAGGCAGCAGUGGGGAGUAUUGCGCAAGGGGCGGAAGCCUGAUGCAGCAGCGCCGCGUGCGGGAUAUCGGCCUUCGGGUUGUAAACCGCUUUCGCCUGGGACGAAGCGUGAGUGACGGUGAUGGGUAAAGGAGCACCGGCGAACUACGU
rnacentral:rRNA from 1 species